AACGAGCGCUGGCGGCAGGCCUAACACAUGCAAGUCGAACGGGAAGCAUCCUUCGGGGUGUGGAGAGUGGCGCACGGGUGAGUAACACGUGGGAACCUACCUUGGGGUACGAAUAACCGUUGGAAACGACGGCUAAUACCGUAUACGCCUUUCGAGGGAAAGAUUUAUCGCCCUGGGACGGGCCCGCGUCUGAUUAGUUUGUUGGUGGGGUAAUGGCCUACCAAGGCUACGAUCAGUAGCUGGUCUGAGAGGAUGAUCAGCCACACUGGGACUGAGACACGGCCCAG
rnacentral:rRNA from 1 species